CAGUAUUCUAAAUACAUUUAUUUGGUAUUCAACUAAUAGAUUGAACUAAAAUAUAUAUUUUAUUUUUAUAACAAUACUUGUGUUAGUAAAACUUGUAUGCUUAAGCUUAAAU